rnacentral:lncRNA from 1 species
UCUUAUUUAUAAAAAACAAGUAAGGUUUUACUGAUUUAUUAAGCCCAACUUUCUCUCGAGUCAGUCUUGUGAUUCCUUCCCCUGCGAUGAUCAGCGAGGGGGCUUUGUUGAAUAUGGUGGACACUCUGAGAUUAGCACCAGGCGUUAGGCAAACAUUAGUGACCCUUAAACAUCAGUGGAGGGAGCUUUGUCCAUCACCCCCUCUCAGCUGCAGUACAUUUGGUUUGUUUUUUCUACCUGCUGAUCUUCAACCUCCCUGGUUUCGGUUGAUGAGGUUUAGAUUAUGGGUCUCUAGUCUACCCUUCGCUCGACUGAAUCGUAAAUUUGUGGAAGAGUUUUGCGGGUAGAAUCCUUCGGUUCUCCAAUUUGAUGUUAGCUUUAGGCUCUGUUGUGUGGUUCCCCUUGAAAAUGCUUGCUCUUUUCUGGGUUCGAUGAGCUUCCUUAAGCUAGUGUCCAAUAAUUAUCCUCG